UUUUGUACAAAAUAUAUGAGCUCAAUUGGAAUAGAGAAAUAUGCAAAGGCAAUUAAAACAUCCGAUAUAUACUGAUAUUUCACAAGAAGCUCCUCGUGGUUCCAUUGUGUGUCAAUGCAAUCACAGGACUCCAUUAUUCCCAUAACUGCCAAAGUAAAUCAGAAGUAAGCAAGAAGUGGACGGCGAGAGAUGAGUAGCAGAUGUCUGAGAGGUUGAUCUGAGCCGUUCAUUUUCUUAAGAAGCAAAAACCAUGUUAAAAUGAGAGGGGCUCUCUGUAAUGAAAGGG
rnacentral:misc_RNA from 1 species